UACAGAGGUCUCAAGCGUUGUUCGGAUUCAUUGGGCGUAAAGGGUGCGUAGGUGGCGUGGUAAGUCGGGUGUGAAAUUUCGGAGCUUAACUCCGAAACUGCAUUCGAUACUGCUGUGCUUGAGGACUGGAGAGGAGACUGGAAUUUACGGUGUAGCAGUGAAAUGCGUAGAGAUCGUAAGGAAGACCAGUGGCGAAGGCGGGUCACUGGCCCGAUACUGACGCUGAUGCACGAAAGCGUGGGGAGCAAACAGG
rnacentral:rRNA from 1 species